ACACAUUCUGGAUCAAAGCAGACAUGCGGCCGGCGCUCUGCGAUCCAAGGCACACUGGGGUCUUUCAUCCGGUGUUUUUAAAAAGGAGGAAACAAAAGGCUCAGAGGCAGGGCCCCAGGUGCGCUCGCCCGCGGGGGCUGCGGCGCGGACGACCGAAGAAAACCACGACUUCCUGGAAAAGUCUUCACCGUAAAUAUUAAUCUCUUUGGCAUGAAGAGGAAAACACUGCAGCUAAUUUUUCAUGGGAUAACAAAAAUAUAAACUGCAAUUUCUUUUAUUUUUUCCCUUUCGAUGGUCUUUUUAAACGAGGAGUAAAGAUUUCAACGCCAGGUCCAUUUUCCAAAUUUUGUACCAGAACCUUGAGGAUGCUUGUCUCUCGCGCGCUUCUCCGCAGACCGAACCCUCUCCGGAACUCAGAGCUGUUCACCCAAGUCAGCGGAGGAGGCCUCCUGGGACUUGAGCCUGAGGGUGGCGAAGAACCCUAGGCAGAGAUCAUCAACUUGGUACCGAUGAGUGACGCGGAGCUUGAACAUUCCAGCGACUUGCUCCAGGGCCACUCCCAGUUAAGAGGCUGAGUGUUAACUGCAAGAGGCUGAGUGUUAACUACGCCGUUGGCUCCAGGAACCGAACCGGGUUUGGAUACAGACCCAGUCACACCAUCCAUGAAAAGCUGUUUCUAUAAUAUGAAAAAUUGUUAAAUGACGCUUUAGUAAAAGCCAUUUAAAGAUCUUUUCUAAUAAAUUUUUCAUCUUUCCAAACAA
rnacentral:lncRNA from 1 species